AUUGAACGCUGGCGGCAUGCCUUACACAUGCAAGUCGAACGGUAACAGGUCUUCGGAUGCUGACGAGUGGCGAACGGGUGAGUAAUACAUCGGAACGUGCCUAGUAGUGGGGGAUAACUACUCGAAAGAGUGGCUAAUACCGCAUGAGAUCUACGGAUGAAAGCAGGGGAUCGCAAGACCUUGUGCUACUAGAGCGGCCGAUGGCAGAGUAGGUAGUUGGUGGGAUAAAAGCGUAUCAAGCCGACGAUCUGUAGCUGGUCUGAGAGGACGAUCAGCCACACUGGGACUGAGACACGGCCCAGACUCCUACGGGAGGCAGCAGUGGGGAAUUUUGGACAAUGGGCGCAAGCCUGAUCCAGCAAUGCCGCGUGCAGGAUGAAGGCCUUCGGGUUGUAAACUGCUUUUGUACGGAACGAAAAGCCCUGGGUUAAUACCCUGGGGUCAUGACGGUACCGUAAGAAUAAGCACCGGCUAACUACGUGCCAGCCGCCGCGGUAACAC
rnacentral:rRNA from 1 species